AACGAACGCUGGCGGCAUGCCUAACACAUGCAAGUCGAACGGUGAUGCAGAGCUUGCUCUGCUGAUCAGUGGCGAACGGGUGAGUAACACGUGAGUAACCUGCCCUUGACUCUGGGAUGAGCGUUGGAAACGACGUCUAAUACCGGAUACGACCCGUGGAGGCAUCUUCGUGGGUGGAAAGAUUUUUUCGGUUGGGGAUGGACUCGCGGCCUAUCAGCUUG
rnacentral:rRNA from 1 species